GAAAAUGCCGGAUACCCACAUAUUUAUUUAAUUCAGUCAGUGAUCCUGAGUGUAUAUUUAGUAUUCAUACGUCCAUGUCUCUGUGUGUCUGUGUCUGUGUGUGUGUGUGUGUGUGUGUGUGUGUGUGUGUGGG